GUGACUUCAUAUCUAUGAUUUUGGAUAUCCAUUUCAUCUCUUUCAGUGACCAGUGAGCUGGAUUUGAGUUCAAUCUGCAAUUUCUCCUUGCAACGAAGUGACUCUACAAACAGUUUCCCCAAAUUGAGAUCAAUCAGCGUGGAGAUAUAGCACAUUUCUGGAACCUUCUUUUGGGUAAGAAUUUCACCGGUUGUGCUCUUGAGAAUCCAUUCACGAUCAUGCAAUAACCCAGUAGAUGUUAGAGGCCACUGAUCCACACUAAAUCCCGCACAAGACUUUAUUGGAUAGACAGUAAUAGAUGUGAGGAAAUGCCGUGCAGCAGCUUCUGCAAUCCCUUCAAUUGGC
rnacentral:misc_RNA from 1 species